GACAGAGGAGGCUAGCGUUGUUCGGAAUCAUUGGGCUUAAAGCGGGUGUAGGCGGCUGCGCAAGUGUCUUGUGAAAGCCCCCGGCUCAACCGGGGAAUUGCUGGGCAAACUGCGUAGCUUGAGGUCGGUAGGGGUGCCUGGAACUCUAGGUGGAGCGGUGAAAUGCGUAGAUAUCUAGAGGAACGCCAGAGGCGAAAGCGGGGCACUGGGCCGAUUCUGACGCUGAGAUCCGAAAGCGUGGGGAGCAAAC
rnacentral:rRNA from 1 species